rnacentral:rRNA from 1 species
GUGCCAGCCGCCGCGGUAAUACGUAGGUGGCAAGCGUUGUCCGGAUUUACUGGGCGUAAAGGAUGCGUAGGCGGAUGUUUAAGUGGGAUGUGAAAUACCCGGGCUCAACCUGGGUGCUGCAUUCCAAACUGGAUAUCUGGAGUGCGGGAGAGGAGAGUGGAAUUCCUAGUGUAGCGGUGAAAUGCGUAGAGAUUAGGAAGAACACCAGUGGCGAAGGCGACUCUCUGGACCGUAACUGACGCUGAGGCAUGAAAGCGUGGGGAGCAAACAGGAUUAGAAACCCUAGUAGUCC